rnacentral:rRNA from 1 species
AGAGUUUGAUCCUGGCUCAGGAUGAACGCUGGCGGCGUGCUUAACACAUGCAAGUCGAGCGAAGCGGCUGAAUUGAUUCUUCGGAUGAUUUUCAGUUGACUGAGCGGCGGACGGGUGAGUAACGCGUGGGUGACCUGCCCCAUACCGGGGGAUAACAGCUGGAAACGGCUGCUAAUACCGCAUAAGCGCACAGAGCUGCAUGGCUCGGUGUGAAAAACUCCGGUGGUAUGGGAUGGGCCCGCGUCUGAUUAGGCAGUUGGCGGGGUAACGGUCCACCAAACCGACGAUCAGUAGCCGGCCUGAGAGGGCGACCGGCCACAUUGGGACUGAGACACGGCCCAGACUCCUACGGGAGGCAGCAGUGGGGAAUAUUGCACAAUGGGGGAAACCCUGAUGCAGCGACGCCGCGUGGAGGAAGAAGGUCUUCGGAUUGUAAACUCCUGUUGUUGAGGAAGAUAAUGACGGUACCCAACAAGGAAGUGACGGCUAACUACGUGCCAGCAGCCGCGGUAAAACGUAGGUCACAAGCGUUGUCCGGAAUUACUGGGUGUAAAGGGAGCGCAGGCGGGAAGACAAGUUGGAAGUGAAAUCUAUGGGCUCAACCCAUAAACUGCUUUCAAAACUGUUUUUCUUGAGUAGUGCAGAGGUAGGCGGAAUUCCCGGUGUAGCGGUGGAAUGCGUAGAUAUCGGGAGGAACACCAGUGGCGAAGGCGGCCUACUGGGCACCAACUGACGCUGAGGCUCGAAAGUGUGGGUAGCAAACAGGAUUAGAUACCCUGGUAGUCCACACCGUAAACGAUGA